CCAAGAAGUCUAGCAUGUACGCGAGUCGUAGGGUCUUACGAAACCUGAAGGCGCAAUGAAAGUGAAGGCUAUCUUUUUCGGUAGCUGAGGUGUGAUCCGGGCUUCAAAAACUCGGCGCAACAUCGGCCCGUCUCAUUCCGCAUUGCCGGAGAGGCGGAGCUUGAGCGUACAUGCUGGGACCCGAAAGAUGGUGACCUAUGCCCGAGCAGGCUGAAGCCAGAGGAAACUCUGGUGGAAGGCCGUAGCGGUUCUGACGUGCAAAUCGAUCGUCGAACUUGGGCAUAGGGGCGAAAGACUAAUCGAACCAUCUA
rnacentral:rRNA from 1 species